rnacentral:lncRNA from 1 species
GUGAUUCUGUCUCUAAGGGCCUGAGAAAUGCAAAAAUGGCUAAGUAGGGAAAGGAAAAUAUAGGUAUGGGGAGAACGAUGAAGGUAGAGAGGUGUACCUCAGGAAUGACAGUAAGAGUGGCCAUGGAAUUGGUUUGGGAUUUGAAGUGAUUAGCAAGUGAAUCAUCAAUGGUCGCUGGAGAUCUCUGAUGGUCGCCAAAAAUCAUCGAGGGUCGCCUUUCACCCGAGAGAAAGAGGAAGCAACAUAUGGUGGUGUGGGAAGAUGGACCGGUGGGGAAGAAGAAGAUGAUAGCUGUAAAUUUAUAAACUCACCCGAGAGGGUAAAUGCGGUAUCUCAUCCGCCGCCUGCGCGAAACUCGAGGAGCUAUUCCCGCCAAACGCUUUUUCAGGCAAUCAUGACUGAGGAGAUUUUGGCAUAGAAAAUAUUUUGUUACUCGAUGAUUGGUAAAUAUUGGCGUUUUCCCAGGGAAGGUAAUCAUGGCUGAGAUAAUUUCGGAGCAAAAGAUAAGUUUCACUCCGAAACUGGGAGGGCAUGUGUUGACACCGUUUUUUGACAUACAUCAAAGAUGGCGUCAAAAGGAAGCAAAGAUGCUGAUGCAUAGUGGAGAGACAACGGCUAGUGGAAUCAUCCGAUGAGGUUGCAGAGGGCUCAGCCGAUGAAGUUAUAAGAGAUCGGCCGAUGAUGGUGAAAGCUGUGCCGAUAGAGGGAGACAGGAGCCUUGCCGAUGGGAUCACAAGGGUGCAGCUGAUGGAGGAUAAUGGAGGCGUAGCCGAUGGAGUCAGCCGAUGUGAGCAGGAGGGUUCUAGCUAAUUGGAAAUGUUGGAGGUUCGGCCGACAGGGAGCAGGUUUUGGCCGGUAGAGGUCAAGUUCGUUUCCGACUCCUGCGCAAGUUGUUUUUAUUUUAUUUUUUGUUUAGAAAGUUUUUUUCUUUAGAGAUAGAUUUUAUGAUUUGUCGUAGCUAACUAGGAUUAGAAAUAUUAAUGUAUAGGGUAUAAAUAGGGGCCUUGUAAGGUCUGGAGAUAUACACAUCAUAAUCAAUACAAAUCUACUAUUUUUUCAAUUUACUUUCAAGUCAGCGACUUCGCCAUCAUUUUCUUUUCUUCACGAGUUCUUCCAAGCUAGUUGGGCUACAUCGCUUCGAUCUCCGGCUAGACUGUAAGUUCCACGUUUACCGAAUACUUUCUAGACUUUAACUUCGGGCGCAUCGUUGUCGUUUCGUCUAGAUUUAUUCACAAGUUAUCGAUAUUUACUAGAUCUGCAAGUUUUAUUCGUUAAAUCUUGUUGUUUUAGUUUUUAGCACAGUUAUCCAGCUUAGAACACGUUCCGAUCGG